rnacentral:rRNA from 1 species
GACGAACGCUGGCGGCGUGCUUAACACAUGCAAGUCGAACGCUGAAGCUCAGCUUUUGUUGGGUGGAUGAGUGGCGAACGGGUGAGUAACACGUGAGUAACCUGCCCCCUUCUUUGGGAUAACGCCCGGAAACGGGUGCUAAUACUGGAUAUUCACUGGUCUUCGCAUGGGGGUUGGUGGAAAGGGUUUUUCUGGUGGGGGAUGGGCUCGCGGCCUAUCAGCUUGUUGGUGGGGUGAUGGCCUACCAAGGCUUUGACGGGUAGCCGGCCUGAGAGGGUGACCGGUCACAUUGGGACGGAGAUACGGCCCAGACUACGACGGGAGGCAGCAGUGGGGAAUAUUGCACAAUGGGCGAAAGCCUGAUGCAGCGACGCCGCGUGAGGGAUGGAGGCCUUCGGGUUGUGAACCUCUUUCGCUCAUGGUCAAGCCGCAACAGUGGUUGUGGUGAGGGUAGUGGGUAAAGAAGCGCCGGCUAACUACGUG